rnacentral:rRNA from 2 species
GUGGGGAAUAUUGCGCAAUGGGGGAAACCCUGACGCAGCGACGCCGCGUGGGUGAUGAAGGCCUUCGGGUCGUAAAGCCCUGUCGGAGGGGAAGAAGGACUCUCGUGCAAAUAGUUCGAGGGUUUGACGGUACCCUUAGAGGAAGCACCGGCUAACUCCGUGCCAGCAGCCGCGGUAAUACGGAGGGUGCAAGCGUUGCUCGGAAUUACUGGGCGUAAAGGGCGUGUAGGCGGUUUCGUAUGUCUGGCGUGAAAGCCCCGGGCUCACCUCGGGAAGUGCGUCGGAAACUGCGAGACUAGAGUCCCGGAGAGGGAGGUGGAAUUCCAGGUGUAGCGGUGAAAUGCGUAGAUAUCUGGAAGAACACCGGUGGCGAAAGCGGCCUCCUGGACGGUGACUGACGCUGAGACGCGAAAGCGUGGGGAGCAAACAGGAUUAGAAACCCCAGUAGUCC